AAGUGUGACCUACUUUUAAAAAACCAUUAGCACUCACGGGAAAACCGGAUCCCAAAUUUCGAUAACCAUUUUUCUUUGAAAUACUAUUCUAUUGCAUCACUGCUCAAAAGCUUGAAAGGUCAAUGGCCACUUUCAGUUGAAGCAGGGGCUAAGGGGAAGUUGGGCGAGGAAGGGGGAGGAGGCGUGGGGGAGGCCGGCUCACAAACCUUGCCUGGUGUCCCCCCUGCUGGCCCUAGGAGGAAGCGUAAACCAGCUUCCUGCCUUCCCGGACAGGCAGGAGUCAGGCAGGAAUGAUUCUCUCAAUAAUUUUCCUGCUUUUGACACAUGCUGUUCCCUCUUCCUGGGAUGCCCUUCGCCAGAAUGGGUGUGUGGCCAGCUCUCAUCAUUCAGCUCCCAGCUCAAAGUCACCUCCACAGACAGUCAUUGUUCACGAAAAUCACACGGGGCAGGUGCAUGGCUGCGACGCUGAACUGUCAUUCUACUUGACGGGGGAAGGGAGAAGUUUCUUCUGUGGCCUGCAUUGAGGAAUUGCCAAGGCCUGAAAAUCUCUCUGUGCCAAAGUCAAACUGGAUGCUCUUGAUUUGCGAUGCAGAUGUUCUGAUACUGGAGUUGACAAGUGCUCCACACCAAGUUGUUGUUGCUGUUGUUGUUGUUGUUGUUGUUGUUGUUGUUGUUUUGCCUAUUUGCAGACAGAGUGUCUUCAUUUUUGUUUUAGGGGUAGGGGAGCGAUAGGAUGAUCCAUCAUUGGCUUUUGUGUCUGGCGUGCCUAGGAGCAGAAGGUACUUUUAAUUGGCCACCAUCCCUUCCUUUCAAACUUUGCCAUCUCACUGCCACCACUGUCACCAUUACCACCACCACCACCAUCACAUACACUCCACUUUCACAAACCCCUGUGAUUCUGGAACCCACCUCUCUGGACAGCACGUGACCCAGGUUAGUUAACAGAAAUGUCUCAGUUCCCCGGACACAGA